rnacentral:rRNA from 1 species
GACGAACGCUGGCGGCGUGCCUAAUACAUGCAAGUAGAACGCUGAAGGAGGAGCUUGCUUCUCUGGAUGAGUUGCGAACGGGUGAGUAACGCGUAGGUAACCUGCCUGGUAGCGGGGGAUAACUAUUGGAAACGAUAGCUAAUACCGCAUAAUAGCAGUUGUUGCAUGACAACUGUUUGAAAGGUGCAAUUGCACCACUACCAGAUGGACCUGCGUUGUAUUAGCUAGUUGGUGGGGUAACGGCUCACCAAGGCGACGAUACAUAGCCGACCUGAGAGGGUGAUCGGCCACACUGGGACUGAGACACGGCCCAGACUCCUACGGGAGGCAGCAGUAGGGAAUCUUCGGCAAUGGACGGAAGUCUGACCGAGCGACGCCGCGUGAGUGAAGAAGGUUUUCGGAUCGUAAAGCUCUGUUGUAAGAGAAGAACGAGUGUGAGAGUGGAAAGUUCACACUGUGACGGUAUCUUACCAGAAAGGGACGGCUAACUACGUG